UACGGAGGGGGCGAGCGUUAUUCGGAAUCAUUGGGCGUAAAGCGCGCGUAGGUGGCCCCGUAAGUCCGCUGUGAAAGUCAAAGGCUCAACCUUUGAAAGCCGGUGGAUACUGUGGGACUAGAGUACGGAAGAGGCGAGUGGAAUUCCUGGUGUAGCGGUGGAAUGCGCAGAUAUCAGGAGGAACACCAAUAGCGAAGGCAGCUCGCUGGGACGUUACUGACACUGAGGCGCGAAAGCGUGGGGAGCGAACAGG
rnacentral:rRNA from 1 species